UACAGAGGUCUCAAGCGUUGUUCGGAUCAUUGGGCGUAAAGGUGCGUAGGCGGCGCGGUAAGUCGGGUGUGAAAUCUCGGAGCUUAACUCCGAACUGCAUUCGAUACUGCCGUGCUUGAGGACUGGAGAGGAGACUGGAAUUUACGGGUGUAGCGGUGAAAUGCGUAGAUAUCGUAAGGAAGACCAGUGGCGAAGGCGGGUCUCU
rnacentral:rRNA from 1 species